CAGACAGAUUAUUAAUUUGACGUUUGGUGUUUUGUGUUGUGGAAUGGCCACCCAGUUUUACUAAUUUUUAUUGUUUGAUUUUUGCCAAAUUGCGCCUCUUAUUUCGCAGAAUACGCGUUGCCACGAUCCUGUAACAAUUGGAUAACUAAAUAUUUCGCUAAUUAUUAAAAUCAAUAACUACAUCAAAGAAACAUGUCGGCGGGACCGUACAACUAUUCCUACAUCUUCAAGUAUAUUAUUAUAGGGGACAUGGGAGUGGGCAAGUCCUGCCUUUUGCACCAAUUCACAGAGAAAAAAUUUAUGGCCGAUUGUCCACACACCAUAGGGGUAGAGUUUGGGACCAGGAUCAUUGAAGUUUCAGGACAGAAAAUCAAGUUACAAAUCUGGGACACUGCAGGACAAGAACGUUUCAGGGCUGUUACUAGGUCCUACUAUAGGGGAGCAGCCGGAGCUUUGAUGGUGUAUGACAUCACCAGGAGGUCCACCUAUAAUCACUUAAGCAGCUGGUUGACAGAUACAAGGAACUUGACUAAUCCUAGCACAGUGAUUUUCCUAAUUGGAAACAAGUGUGACCUUGAGGGUCAGAGGGAUGUUACUUAUGAGGAAGCUAGUAAAUUUGCAGAGGAGAAUGGACUGUUGUUUGUUGAAGCCAGUGCUAAAACUGGAGACAAUGUGGAGGAGGCGUUCCUAGAAACGGCUAAAAAGAUCUACCAAAGCAUACAAGAUGGCAGGUUAGACUUAAACGCAGCAGAGUCUGGGGUGCAACAUAAACCGUCCCAACCAGGACGCAACAAUUUGUCCAACGACCAACAGGCCAACAAGGACAACUGUGCAUGCUAGUUAUUUGCAAACUAGGUACAGAACACUUGGAAUCUCUGGGGUUUGGUUUAUGUUUUUUUUUUUGCAAUUAGGAUUUUAGGUCAAUGGAAUGUACCACAGUUAUUAAGGAUAUUAAGUGUUUUAUAAAAGUUACUUCUAAGUGUAUAACAUGAUAAAAAAUUACUAUAUCAUUAUGCUUUGUAUUAUUAAAGUGGCUGCAUUAGGUUAGGAGUCCACCUUGUUCUGUUUAUUUCCCCCAAUCAUAAUAAGCUCAGGCCAACCUCAAAUUAAUAUUUUUUAUUAUUCAUUCCAACAAUAAUUUUUCUUCUAAUUUAGGAAAAAAUCGGUUACAACGUUGUUUUAUAUCUUAGUUUGUAGGCAAGUAUGUUAAGCCAUAAAUUUAUUGUCAGUGUAGUCCAAACUAGUUUAUUCGCAAUCAUAACAAUUAGCAUUUGUAUCAGGACUUAAACGUGUUGAGGAUUUUAAGUGAAUAAAAAAAUUCACUAAUUUUAAUGAUGUAAUGACGCUUAUUGGAAGCACGCUUUCCCGUUCCGUUUCAUUGCAGCCUUAAUUUAGUGAUUAAUGUUUUGUAUGUGAUUUAUUUAUUAUAAAGAGCAAAAUAUUUGAUUAUUAAUAAUAUAAGCCUAAGAAAGUUA
rnacentral:misc_RNA from 1 species